rnacentral:rRNA from 1 species
AAAUGAUUUAUCGCCAUAGGAUGGGACUGCGGCCUAUCAGUUUGUUGGUGAGGUAAUGGCCCACCAAGACUAUUACAGGUACGGGCUCUGAGAGGAGUAGCCCGGAGAUGGGUACUGAGACACGGACCCAGGCCCUAUGGGGCGCAGCAGGCGAGAAAACUUUGCAAUGUGCGAAAGCACGACAAGGUUAAUCCGAGUGAUUUGUGCUAAACGAAUCUUUUGUUAGUCCUAGAAACACUAACGAAUAAGGGGUGGGCAAGUUCUGGUGUCAGCCGCCGCGGUAAAACCAGCACCUCAAGUGGUCAGGAUGAUUAUUGGGCCUAAAGCAUCCGUAGCCGGCUCUGUAAGUUUUCGGUUAAAUCUGUACGCUUAACGUACAGGCUGCCGGGAAUACUGCAGAGCUAGGGAGUGGGAGAGGUAGACGGUACUCGGUAGGAAGUGGUAAAAUGCUUUGAUCUAUCGAUGACCACCUGUGGCGAAGGCGGUCUACCAGAACACGUCCGACGGUGAGGGAUGAAAGCUGGGGGAGCAAACCGGAUUAGAUACCCGGGUAGUCCCAGCUGUAAACUAUGCAAACUCAGUGAUGCAUUGGCUUGUGGCCAAUGCAGUGCUGCAGGGAAGCCGUUAAGUUUGCCGCCUGGGAAGUACGUACGCAAGUAUGAAACUUAAAGGAAUUGGCGGGGGAGCACCACAAGGGGUGAAGCCUGCGGUUCAAUUGGAUUCAACGCCGGG